rnacentral:rRNA from 1 species
UACGUAGGCAGCGAGCGUUGUUCGGAGUUACUGGGCGUAAAGGGUGCGUAGGCGAUUUUCCAAGUUUGGUGUGAAAUCUCCCGGCUUAACUGGGAGGGUGCGCCGAAAACUAGGAGACUUGAGUACCGGAGAGGUAAGCGGAAUUCCUGGUGUAGCGGUGAAAUGCGUAGAGAUCAGGAGGAACACCUGUGGUGUAGACAGCUUACUGGACGGUCACUGACGCUGAGGCACGAAAGCGUGGGUAGCAAACAGG